UGGACGUGUUCUGGUCGACCACCGUGGUUGGUCCCAAGCGGGGGGUCGAGGAGGUCAGAGGAGAUCGCAUGGUGGAAAGAGGACCCCGUUCAUUGAGCUCCAACGGUUGUGCAUGAAGUGGUUGAACUCUGGACUCACAGGACUGACCAGACACAGCAACUUACUUCGGAAGCCUGCAAUCUGCAAUCUCGAGGGGUUUCCAGGAAAGAGAGACAGCAUGCAGAAGCCUUGUGCCAAGAAGGCUGAAAGCUCAUGUUUGACUCCAUUUCACCACGUAAAGCCUCCAUUGUUCACCGAUUAAAGCGACAAAGGAGAUUGGAACACCAGUGCCUGCCUUUUUAUUGCUGGUGAGAUCGCUCUGCUGCUAGAGAGGGGAGACUGCCUUUCUAUCAGUGGUGAAGU